UACGGAGGGUGCAAGCGUUGUCCGGAUUUAUUGGGUUUAAAGGGUGCGUAGGCGGCCCUGUAAGUCAGUGGUGAAAUUCUUGAGCCUAACUGAAGGAUUGCCAUUGAUACUGUAGGGCUUGAGUACAGAUGAGGUAGGCGGAAUUGAUGGUGUAGCGGUGAAAUGCAUAGAUACCAUCAAGAACACCGAUUGCGAAGGCAGCUUACUAAGCUGUAACUGACGCUGAUGCACGAAAGCGUGGGGAUCGAACAGG
rnacentral:rRNA from 1 species